GACGAACGCUGGCGGCGUGCUUAACACAUGCAAGUCGAACGGAAAGGCCCUGCUUUUGUGGGGUGCUCGAGUGGCGAACGGGUGAGUAACACGUGAGUAACCUGCCCUUGACUUUGGGAUAACUUCAGGAAACUGGGGCUAAUACCGGAUAGGAGCUCCUGCUGCAUGGUGGGGGUUGGAAAGUUUCGGCGGUUGGGGAUGGACUCGCGGCUUAUCAGCUUGUUGGUGGGGUAGUGGCUUACCAAGGCUUUGACGGGUAGCCGGCCUGAGAGGGUGACCGGCCACAUUGGGACUGAGAUACGGCCCAGACUCCUACGGGAGGCAGCAGUGGGGAAUAUUGCACAAUGGGCGGAAGCCUGAUGCAGCAACGCCGCGUGCGGGAUGACGGCCUUCGGGUUGUAAACCGCUUUCGCCUGUGACGAAGCGUGAGAGACGGUAAUGGGUAAAGAAGCACCGGCUAACUACGUG
rnacentral:rRNA from 1 species